rnacentral:rRNA from 1 species
AAACCAGCACCUCAAGUGGUCAGGAUGAUUAUUGGGCCUAAAGCAUCCGUAGCCUGAUCUGUAAGUUUUCGGUUAAAUCUGUACGCUCAACGUACAGGCUGCCGGGAAUACUGCAGAUCUAGGGAGUGGGAGAGGUAGACGGUACUCGGGAGGAAGUGGUAAAAUGCUUUGAUCUCUCGAUGACCACCUGUGGCGAAGGCGGUCUACCAGAACACGACCGACGGUGAGGGAUGAAAGCUGGGGGAGCAAACCGGAUUAGAAACCCGAGUAGUCC